rnacentral:rRNA from 1 species
AAUCAACGCUGGCGGCGUGCCUAACACAUGCAAGUCGAACGCGAAAGCCCCGCAAGGGGUCAGUAGAGUGGCAAACGGGUGAGUAACACGUGGGUGACCUGCCUUCGAGUGGGGGAUAACGUCCCGAAAGGGACGCUAAUACCGCAUGACAUCCUGCUUUUGAAAAAGCGGAGAUCAAAGCUGGGGAUCGCAAGACCUAGCGCUUGAAGAGGGGCCCGCGCCUGAUUAGCUAGUUGGUGAGGUAACGGCUCACCAAGGCGACGAUCAGUAUCCGGCCUGAGAGGGCGGACGGACACACUGGGACUGAGACACGGCCCAGACUCCUACGGGAGGCAGCAGUGGGGAAUUGUUCGCAAGGGGCGCAAGCCUGACGACGCAACGCCGCGGGGAGGACGAAGAUCUUCGGGUCGUAAACUCCUGUCGAGCGGGACGAACGCUUCGCGGAUGAAUAAGCCGCGGAAUUGACGGUACCGCUAAAGGAAGCCCCGGCUAACUCCGUG